CCGUGAAAGCGGUAGCCUGGAGAAUGGGCACUGAGACAAGGGCCCAGGCCCUACGGGGCGCAGCAGCUACGAAAACUCUGCAAUGCGCGCAAGCGCGACAGGGCUAUCCCGAGUGCUGUCCGCUGAGGGUAGCUUUUCUCUGGUGUAAUGAGCCAGAGGAAUAAGGGGAGGGCAAGCCUGGUGUCAGCCGCCGCGGUAAUACCAGCUCCCCGAGUAGUGGGGACUAUUAUUUGGCCUAAAGCGUUCUAGCCGGUUCUGUUAGUCUUUCGUUAAAUCCAACGACCUAAUCGUUGGGCUGCGAGAGAUACUGCAGAUCUAGGAGGCGGAAGAAGCCGAACGGUACUCUAGGGGUAGGGGUGAAAUCCUAUAAUCCCUAGAGGACCACCAGUGGCGAAGGCGGUCGGCUAGAACGCGCCCGAACGGUGAAAGGCGAA
rnacentral:rRNA from 1 species